GGCGCCGUGCAGUCACUCAACAUGCUCAAGCCAGGGUGAUGUUUCGUCAGUUUCCGAUCUAUUUUCUUUCUUAAGACACUUUCAUGACAGUCGAUGUGUCUAUCAUCCUGCCUGUGCAUAAUGCUGAUGCUUGGCUGGAUGAGUGUCUUCAGUCCGUACUCGACCAACAAUUUAGUGGCUCUCUGGAGCUGUCUACCUUCCUAGAUGCAUGCACAGAUAGGUCUGGUGACAUCCUAGACAAAUGGAAGCCCAGACUCGAAGCCUCUGGUAUUGUCAUUGUGACAGGUGGACACAAUGAUAAACAGCCGAAAGGAGUUGGAUAUGCCAAAAAUCAAGCUGUUCUCCAGAGCCAUGGUAACUUCCUGUGUUUCCUGGAUGCAGAUGAUGUGAUGGACGGUCGUCGCAUUGAAAUGCAGUUGGCUGCCACAGUUAUUCGGCCAUUCACGAUAACUGGUUGCCAAUUUUACAGAGUACCGGCAGGUUCAACCGAGCGAUACACAAAGUGGGCCAACUCCAUUAAUCAGGAACAGCUGAUGACACAGGUCUACACAGCUCAUGGGCCAACUGUUAUCAUGCCUACAUGGUUCUGCUCGAGGGAAACAUUUGACAGAGUGGGUGCAUUUAAUGAGCAUGGCAAGGGGACACCUGAAGACCUGCUUUUCUUCUUUGAGCAUUUACGCCUAGGUGGGAAGGUCUUCCGAGUUGACCAUUGCCUUCUCAUGUACCGAUACCACCCAGCCGCUGCCACUCAUUCAGUCUCACAAGAGUCAAUAUGGGAUAUCAGAAUGAAGGCACUUGAGGAGCGGGUCUUAAGCUGUUGGGACUCCUUUACCAUUUGGAAUGCUGGGAAACAGGGCCGGAGGUUCUAUCGGAGCCUCAGCGAGCAUAAUAAGGAAAAGGUACACAUCAAAUGUGGCCCAGUUUUGUGACGUUGACGUCAAGAAAAUAGAAAAGGGUGUCUACAUAUAUGAAGAGAGCGAGGCCAUUCCCAAGCCACGAGUUCCCAUCAUUCAUUUUAGCAAAGCCAGGCCACCUAUCAUCAUCUGUGUCAAAAUG
rnacentral:misc_RNA from 1 species